rnacentral:rRNA from 1 species
AUUGAACGCUAGCGGGAUGCCUUACACAUGCAAGUCGAACGGAGUGGCGAACGGGUGAGGAACAUAACGGAACGUACCCAGUGGCGGGGGAUAACUACGCGAGAGCGUAGCUCAUACCACAUCCAAUUGGAGCGGACGAUAUCGGAUUAGCUAGUUGGAGUGGUAAAGACUCACCAAGGCGACGAGCCGUAGCUGGUUUGAGAGGACGACCAGCCACACUGGUACUGAUACACGGCCCAGACUCCUACGGGAGGCAGCAGUGGGGAAUGUGGGGCAAUGGGGGAAACCCUGAUCCAGCCAUACCGCGUGUGCGAUGAAGGCCUUCGGGUUGUAAAGAACUUUUGGCAGGAAAGCGGUACCUGCAGAAUAAGCACCGGCUAACUCCGUGCCAGCAGCCGCGGUAAUAC